ACUCAUUUGCACAAUGGUGACCCCGCCCCUGUUGAUUUUGACCCUAGGCAACUGUUACUCAGGGUAACCACCCCAGGUACAAUUACCAAGGGUCAUCAAAUGUGCAUCAAAUCCAAUAAUCUUCAAAGAUACUCUAUCUAUGUUAACUCAGGUUCCAUGCCUGCCAUUCUUGCCCAUCUUCAGUAUCCUGGUCAACAGCUACCUAAUGGGUCAACUCAGCAGCAACACCUGGCUUCUGUUUAUGGUGUGUAUGGCUUUUGGCCUCCUGAUUUAUUUUGGCUAUGGGAUCUUCCAGAGUGCAGACAGACACCAGGGCAAAGAUCCAUCCCCACCGGAGAACAGAGAACAUGCAACAAGGGAUACAGAUUCAGCUGUCACUUGGAGAAAAAAGGGCUCUAAGGAAACCACAGUGUGGAACUACUGAUUUUUACUGAUGGGAAGGACUUUAUCCUGAUAGUCUGACAAAGAUGGAUUCCUCUAUGGUUUAAAUGUAUGUGUUUGUAUCUAUCUAUAGUACAAAAUACACUUUAGCAAAAUGGAUACUUAGAUGCAGAUUGUUGACAGACGAGGUGUGCAGAGUGGCCAAGAGUGGGAGUGGCACUCUUUGGGUGGCUUUAGCAAGCUGCUAUUCUCAAUGAUAACAGUCGCCUGUUCUCCAGGGAUGUUGUAGAGAUUACUGCAGGAAUGUUUGUGAAAUGCUUUUUAACACUUGAAAUGCAAGAUAAACACUUAUUUUACAUA